AUGGAAAUUGUCCAUACAUACGGGAAGCCUGACAUCUUCUUGACAAUGACUUGCAACCCUAAAUGGGAAGAGAUAACAAAUGAGUUGCUUCCCGGGCAGACGGCGCAAGACCGACCUGAUAUUGUGGCUCGCGUGUUCUAUGGCAAACUAGAGGCUACGAAAGAUACGUUGCUCAAGAAGAUGGUCCUUGGUGUUUUUGUUGCUUAUGUUUACGUAGUCAAGUUCCAAAAGAGAGGCCUCCCCCAUGCACAUUUUUUGUUGAUCAUGGAUUCAAAUUAUAAGCUUCUUGUCCCAGAGCAGUAUGACCGACUCAUUUCCGCUGAGCUCCCAGAAAAGCAGAAGUAUCCGGAAUUGUAUGCAAUGGUGGUAAAACAUAUGAUGCACGGACCAUGCGGUGCUCUCAACCCGAAGAAUGUUUGCAUGCAAGAUAAUGAAUGCAAGUACAGAUACCCGCGGCCGUUCAAUGAGAACACAGCACAGGGCAAGGACUCAUACCCAGUUUAUUGA
rnacentral:rRNA from 1 species